UGGGGAAUCUUGGACAAUGGGCGCAAGCCUGAUCCAGCCAUGCCGCGUGGGUGAUGAAGGCCUUAGGGUUGUAAAAUCCUUUCGCCGAGGACGAUAAUGACGGUACUCGGAGAAGAAGCUCCGGCUAACUUCGUGCCAGCAGCCGCGGUAAUACGAAGGGGGCUAGCGUUGUUCGGAUUUACUGGGCGUAAAGCGCGUGUAGGCGGGUCGUUAAGUUGGGGGUGAAAUCCCGAGGCUCAACCUCGGAACUGCCUUCAAAACUGGCGACCUGGACCUAAGUAGAGGCAAGUGGAAUUGCGAGUGUAGAGGUGAAAUUCGUAGAUAUUCGCAGGAACACCAGUGGCGAAGGCGACUUGCUGGACUUAUGGUGACGCUGAGACGCGAAAGCGUGGGGAGCAAACAGGAUUAGAUACCCUUGUAGUCCCUGAGCGGGCUGGCAAGGCGCAU
rnacentral:rRNA from 1 species